rnacentral:rRNA from 1 species
CUAGCAUAUCAAUAAGCGGAGGAAAAGAAACCAACAGGGAUUGCCCCAGUAACGGCGAGUGAAGCGGCAAGAGCUCAAAUUUGAAAUCUGGCCUCCUCCGGGGGUCCGAGUUGUAAUUUGCAGAGGAUGCUUCGGGUGCGGCCCCCGUCUAAGUUCCUUGGAACAGGACGUCAGAGAGGGUGAGAAUCCCGUCUUGGGCGGGCGGCCCGCGCCCGUGUGAAGCUCCUUCGACGAGUCGAGUUGUUUGGGAAUGCAGCUCUAAGCGGGUGGUAAAUUUCAUCUAAAGCUAAAUAUUGGCCGGAGACCGAUAGCGCACAAGUAGAGUGAUCGAAAGGUUAAAAGCACCUUGAAAAGGGAGUUAAACAGCACGUGAAAUUGUUGAAAGGGAAGCGCUUGCGGCCAGACUCGGGGGCGGGGUUCAGCGGGCGCUCGUCGCCCGUGCACUCCCCGCGCCCCGGGCCAGCAUCAGUUUCGACGGUCGGUCAAAGGCCCCCGGAAUGUGUCGUCUCUAGGGACGUCUUAUAGCCGGGGGUGCAAUGCGGCCCGUCGGGACUGAGGAACGCGCUUCGGCUCGGAUGCUGGCGUAAUGGCCGUAAGCGGCCCGUCUUGAAACACGGACCAAGGAGUCUAACAUCCACGCGAGUGUUCGGGUGUCAAACCCGUGCGCGCAGUGAAAGCGAACGGAGGUGGGAGCCUUUGGGCGCACCAUCGACCGAUCCUGAAGUCUUCGGAUGGAUUUGAGUAGGAGCGUGGCCGUUGGGACCCGAAAGAUGGUGAACUAUGCCUGAAUAGGGUGAAGCCAGAGGAAACUCUGGUGGAGGCUCGCAGCGGUUCUGACGUGCAAAUCGAUCGUCAAAUUUGGGCAUAGGGGCGAAAGACUAAUCGAACCAUCUAGUAGCUGGUUCCUGCCGA